rnacentral:rRNA from 14 species
ACCCACAGCCAUAACACCUUGAGAACACCCAAUUUUGUCUCAUCUCGUAAGUUAAGCAGGGUCAUGCUUGGGUCUUGUCUAGGGUUAAACAAAGAUCCAAGAGAACCACCAAGAGAUUUUUGCUGAGGCUA